GUGUCAGCAGCCGCGGUAAGACGAACCGUGCGAACGUUGUUCGGAAUCACUGGGCUUAAAGGGCGCGUAGGCGGUCAAUCCAGUCGGGGGUGAAAUCUUGCAGCUUAACUGUAAAAGUGCCUUCGAUACUGAUUGACUCGAGGGAGGUAGGGGCAGGUGGAACUUCCAGUGGAGCGGUGAAAUGUGUUGAUAUUGGAAGGAACGCCGGUGGCGAAAGCGACCUGCUGGAUCUCUUCUGACGCUGAGGCGCGAAAGCUAGGGGAGCAAACGGGAUUAGAUACCCCGGUAGUCC
rnacentral:rRNA from 1 species